rnacentral:lncRNA from 1 species
CGGGGAUGAUAGAAGAUAUGGUAACGUCCAUAUGGAGUGAAUACUACAGUGGUGGAUGGGUCACUAGUAAAGCCAGGACCAAAGGUACCAUAGAUAGGGGUAGAAGGAGAUGGUGGAGAUAAUCUAGGAACACAAGUAUAAGAAAUCAGAAAGUACCAAUCUUUGGCCACCCUUUUGAACGCAAUCAGAGGUUUCUCCGGUAACCGGCACAAAAUCUCAACUUUCAAAUCAUCCGGUAAUUUUGACCAAUCGGACAACUCCUGUUCGCCUUGCUCUAUCAGAUCUCCAUCGCCGUUCUCCUCCGCCAUGGAUUUAGAUGGAUAAUAAAAUAAAAUUCGGAUUUUAUUUGUGUGUGUAUUUCUCGAGACUAGUUUUUGUGUGGCGGAAGUCGGAACACCUAAAAAAAAACCUAAAAAUGAUGUAUCCGGUUCCGGUUCUGGGUCUAUUUGGAUAAACGGUUCAAGUUUUGGCGGUUCGUGGUUCUGGCGGUUCCGGUUCUGGCGAUUCCCGGUUUUGGCGGUUCCGGUUCCGGAACUGCCCGGUUCCGAUUUUGGCGGUUCCCGGCGGUUCCGACCUUUUUUUUUUUUUCUAAAUUAAUAUCUUGUAUAAGUGAUUAGUAUAUUGUAGAAUAUAUUUUUAUAUGGUGUACUAUUUUCUUAUUAUAGCAUAUAUUGUGUUUGGAAAUUAGUAUAUAUUCAAAAUAAGUAGUGUAUAUUUUGUAUAUAAGUAGUAUAUGUUGUAGUAAAGUAGUAUAUAUUGAGUAUAAGAAAUCAGAAAGUACCAAUCUUUGGCCACCCUUUUGAACGCAAUCAGAGGUUUCUCCGGUAACCGGCACAAAAUCUCAACUUUCAAAUCAUCCGGUAAUUUUGACCAAUCGGACAACUCCUGUUCGCCUUGCUCUUUCAGAUCUCCAUCGCCGUUCUCCUCCGCCAUGGAUUUAGAUGGAUAAUAAAAUAAAAUUCGGAUUUUAUUUGUGUGUGUAUUUCUCGAGACUAGUUUUUGUGUGGCGGAAGUCGGAACACCUAAACAAAACCUAAAAGGGUGUUUGGCCUAAGUUUAUACGCUGGUUCAGCUUAUAUAACUAUUUUU